rnacentral:rRNA from 1 species
CAGGCUUAACACAUGCAAGUCGAGGGGCAGCAUGGUCUUAGCUUGCUAAGGCCGAUGGCGACCGGCGCACGGGUGAGUAACGCGUAUCCAACCUGCCUUACACUCUUGGACAGCCUUCUGAAAGGGAGAUUAAUACAAGAUGUUAUCAUGAGUAAGCAUUUUCGCAUGAUUAAAGGUUUACCGGUGUAAGAUGGGGAUGCGUUCCAUUAGAUAGUAGGCGGGGUAACGGCCCACCUAGUCUUCGAUGGAUAGGGGUUCUGAGAGGAAGGUCCCCCACAUUGGAACUGAGACACGGUCCAAACUCCUACGGGAGGCAGCAGUGAGGAAUAUUGGUCAAUGGACGAGAGUCUGAACCAGCCAAGUAGCGUGAAGGAUGAAGGUUCUAUGGAUUGUAAACUUCUUUUAUACGGGAAUAAACGAAUCCACGUGUGGAUUUUUGCAUGUACCGUAUGAAUAAGGAUCGGCUAACUCCGUGCCAGCAGCCGCGGUAAUACGGAGGAUCCGAGCGUUAUCCGGAUUUAUUGGGUUUAAAGGGAGCGUAGAUGGGUUGUUAAGUCAGUUGUGAAAGUUUGCGGCUCAACCGUAAAAUUGCAAUUGAUACUGGCAGUCUUGAGUACAGUUGAGGUAGGCGGAAUUCGUGGUGUAGCGGUGAAAUGCUUAGAUAUCACGAAGAACUCCGAUUGCGAAGGCAGCUUACUAACCUGUAACUGACAUUGAUGCUCGAAAGUGUGGGUAUCAAACAGGAUUAGAUACCCUGGUAGUCCACACGGUAAACGAUGAAUACUCGCUGUAGGCGAUAUACAGUCUGCGGCCAAGCGAAAGCAUUAAGUAUUCCACCUGGGGAGUACGCCGGCAACGGUGAAACUCAAAGGAAUUGACGGGGGGCCCGCACAAGCGGAGGAACAUGUGGUUUAAUUCGAUGAUACGCGAGGAACCUUACCCGGGCUUAAAUUGCAACCGAAUAUGGCGGAAACGCUAUAGCUAGCAAUAGCGGUUGUGAAGGUGCUGCAUGGUUGUCGUCAGCUCGUGCCGUGAGGUGUCGGCUUAAGUGCCAUAACGAGCGCAACCCUUGCCGAUAGUUACUAACAGGUCAUGCUGAGGACUCUGUCGGGACUGCCAUCGUAAGAUGUGAGGAAGGUGGGGAUGACGUCAAAUCAGCACGGCCCUUACGUCCGGGGCUACACACGUGUUACAAUGGGGGGUACAGAGGGCUGCUACCACGCAAGUGGAUGCCAAUCCCAAAAACCUCUCUCAGUUCGGAUUGAAGUCUGCAACCCGACUUCAUGAAGCUGGAUUCGCUAGUAAUCGCGCAUCAGCCACGGCGCGGUGAAUACGUUCCCGGGCCUUGUACACACCGCCCGUCAAGCUAUGGGAGCCGGGGGUACCUGAAGUGCGUAACCGCAAGGAGCGCCCUAGGGUAAAACUGGUGACUGGG